UAGGGAAUCUUCCACAAUGGACGCAAGUCUGAUGGAGCAACGCCGCGUGAGUGAAGAAGGUUUUCGGAUCGUAAAGCUCUGUUGUUGGUGAAGAAGGAUAGAGGCAGUAACUGGUCUUUAUUUGACGGUAAUCAACCAGAAAGUCACGGCUAACUACGUGCCAGCAGCCGCGGUAAUACGUAGGUGGCAAGCGUUGUCCGGAUUUAUUGGGCGUAAAGCGAGCGCAGGCGGAAUGAUAAGUCUGAUGUGAAAGCCCACGGCUCAACCGUGGAACUGCAUCGGAAACUGUCAUUCUUGAGUGCAGAAGAGGAGAGUGGAACUCCAUGUGUAGCGGUGGAAUGCGUAGAUAUAUGGAAGAACACCAGUGGCGAAGGCGGCUCUCUGGUCUGCAAACUGACGCUGAGGCUCGAAAGCAUGGGUAGCGAACAGGAUUAGAUACCCUGGUAGUCCAUGCCGUAAACGAUGAGC
rnacentral:rRNA from 1 species